GUGAGUAUAACACAGUGUUAUUCUUUAUUCCCCUCUUGAACGUCUGAAUCUGUCUAGCUAACGUGACAUAAUCAUAGCAUGGUUGUAAUUAUAUAGAGAUGAAAUGCUCAGAUAAAGUAUAGACAAAAACACAAAGCAAUUGAUUUAUUGUGACAUUAAUAAUUUUAGUCUAAUUUCCUUAUUGUUACAAUGUGUUGUUUCAAAUAAGAUUUUAAAAAUCAUAACCUCUCUGCUUUGUGCUAUAGUUGAACAUUGUAGGAUAUUGCAACACAUUUGCUGCCAGUCAAUAAUGUGCUGCUAAGUAGCUCGCUUUCUUUGUUGGUAUUAUGAAAGUGGAGAUGUUAUUUGUAUCUCUCAGCUAUUCAUCUUUAUAUGUCACUACAAGAAAACAAAUGACCUAUGUGGGGAGUUUGUACAGGCAGCUCUUACUUCUAUGCUUUCUUAGAUGAAUACCACUGAACAAAUGGAAAGCCACAAUGAUGCUCUUGUUGUUGAUGAAGAUGGCUUGUUGUUUGAUUUUGUUUUUGCUUUUUGUUUUUAUGGGUAUAUGUGCUUAUUUUAUAUGUAUAUGUGCCUGUGUAUACAUAUGUUCAUGAAGUUCCAGCAGAAGUCAGAAGUUGGCAUCAACUCUCUUGGAAUUGGAGUUACAGGCAGUUAGUUGUGAACCAUCAUGUGGGCGGGGUCUUCUGCAAGACUAGUGUCUUAGUUAGGGUUUUACUACUGUCAACAGACGUGAUGGCCUAAGAAACUCUUAAAAGAACAAUAUAUAGUUGGGGCUGACCUACAGUUUAGAAAUUCAAUCCAUUAUCAUCAAGGCAGGAACAUGGCAGCAUCCAGGAUAGCAUGGUGCAGAUGGAGCUGAGAAUUGUACAUCUUCAUCUGAAGGCUGCUAGCAGAAUACUGGAUGCCAGGCAGCUAAGAUGAGGGUUUUAUAGCCCACAGUGACACACCUACUCCAAAAAGGCCACACCUACUCCAACAGGGUCACACCUUCUAAUAGUGCUACUCCCUGGCCUGAGCUUAUAGAAACCAUCACAACUAGUAACUGCUUUUAACCUUUGAGCCAUCUCUCCAGCUCUGAAUAAUUUGUUUUGAGACAGGGUUUGUUAUUGUCCAGGCUGGCCUCCAAUUCAAGAUCCUCCCACCUCAGUUUCUUGGAGUGCUAAGAUUGCUGAGAUGUACCACCACACCAGGCCUAGAUAAAACUCUUGGUGUAGCUACUAUUUCUUCUUAUUAUUUUCUAAUAGACAUGUAAGGGCAUAUCACACCAUUAUGGUGAUGCUAAUUUUUACAGGGCCAGGAAGACCAUAGUGCUCAUUGACUGGUCUCAUUUAUACAAAUACAAUCUUUUUUCUUGAAAUAUUUCACCAAUGGCAUCAUAAUCUUGAGGUAGGUUUUGACCCUGCCAGGACAGUGAUCUUCCAGGGACAUAUUAGAAACAGCAAAAGUUGAUUCCUCAGAGGCUUUGCUCUAGGGACCUUCAUUUUAUCAAUUACUUGGAGUCUGCUCUGUUACAGCUAUUAUAACAUGAUAGAGACCACAUAGAGAUAGUAUAUAUUUUCUCUCUCCAGUUAUUCAUGGAUUACCACAAUUCAACAUAGUAAUAGACAUGUAUUAGGUGCUCUGUCCACAUAAGAACAUGUAUUCUUUAUCAUCAAGGAGUUGAAUAGUCUUCCUUCAAAGCAACUGUUCUACAAGGCCAUACACAGCCGAAAUGAUUUGUAAUAAAGAUCCCUAACCACAAGGCAGGCAAAACGAUUCUUGCCACCCACCAUGACUAACCAUCUGAGUUCCAUCCAGGGACCCACAUGAUGGAAAACAAGAACUAACUCCUGCAAGUACCCCUCUGACUUCCACACAUUUGUUUACUUGUGCCUGCCCUGACCACCACCACACACAAAUACAUGUUUGAAAAGGAUGUUGUAGGAAUAACAAAGGACUGGGUAAGUCUGCCAAGGAAGAAUGGGUAUUUUUUGGCAGAGUCAAAACCUAGACUUGGUGUCUUAAAGAAGUUAAACCCAUGCUUUUCCAGACAUGAAAGUAACAAUAAUUUUUACAUGUUUCAAAGCUGGCAAUUGAAUGUACGGAGAUUACUUAGAAUCCGGAAUAUAACACGUAAUGGUCCAACAGAGUCGGUAAACCUGUUGGUCAUGUGUGGUUGUUUUCUAUAGUGUUUUGACUUCUAUAAAAUCUAAAAUAACUGAUUAAUUUCCACUGCUUUUUAAUAGUUGAGUUCAUAUGCUAGAGAAAGGCAGAGAGUUGCUUGUGUUAUCUAUUGAUCCAGGUAUGGUGCUUCACACCUGUACUUGAAAGCACUGAGAAGGUGAAGGCAGAACUUCCAGUGUCCAAGAGCAGCCUCAGCCACAUAGUGAAUUUUACAUAAGAUUACGUUACAUGUAACCAUGUGUCAAAUAAUGACAAUGAUAAUAUUUAUUGAGUAUCUGCUAUGCACCAGAGUGUCUUCUGGUCAUUCCCAUUACAAAAGACAAAAUAGCCAACAAUUCUGUCCUUGUGGAGCUUAUAUUACUCACAAUAAGUAAUAAACAGCAAAUAAUAUAUCU
rnacentral:lncRNA from 1 species